GUGAUAUGUAACCAAAAUUAAAAUCUUGGGGCUGCUAAUAAUGGAAAAUUUUAAACCAAAUACGCCAAUGUAAUGAGUAAUUCUUUAGCUCUGAAAAGGGUUAAUCUGAAGUUUUGUCCUCAAACUAUUAACUUUCUUCUCAAGUCAUCAUCAUCAUUAAAUGUUUUCAAUGAAGAUCACAUUUCCCUUUGGAGAAUAGAUAUUAAUCACGUAGAGGCAAAUCUGGGCUGUAAAGCGAAGGGGCAAUUUUCUUAAAACCAUAUUGCUCCUUUUGAAAUGUAUUAUUAAGACAUUACUGGUUUUGAAUUACUGAAAGAAGUCAGGUACCUAUCUCGCUGAGACAUCAAGUGAAGUGUUCUCAAGUGAAGUAUUCAUGGAGAAUGUGCAAAAAGUUGUUUUAGAUAUAUCCAGUCUUGCUGCUGUCUCCUUGAAUUUUAAUCUCCUAUCAGUUAAUAUUUUCUGACGUCAAUGCUAUCUAUCAAUGGUUGACCUUUACAAGAAUCAUAAAGUACGGGUUCUCGGCCCAUGGGAAAGUGUUUUACGUAUCUUUACUGUAGAACAGGGACAAGAUGAAUCACUAUAUUCAUGAUCCAGGAAUUAUUUCAAUUCUUCUGAACUAAGUCCUUCUUUAGUCAAAAAUAUAAUCACAGAACGACCUCAGUUUUAAAUGAGUUACAACAAAAAAAGCAAUGUGCUUUUUCCAAUUUCAGUGCCACUGGACGGAGUCGAAAAUGCAAGAAGGGAUUCUAGAUUUGUCGCUCCGAGGCAAGAUCUACCUAGGCCAUUUCAACCAAAUCAGUAUAGGCCUCGGCCUUUUCAAUAUCCGUACAGGCUGCUUAGUUAUCAACAAGAACCUUCCCGGCCUUCUCAAUAUCCGUACAGGCCGCUUAUUUAUCAUCAAGUUCCUUCAAUAAGUUAUUAUAAUACGGUGCCAGAAAAUGAACAGAAAAGAAUGAAGAAAUUUAAGUUAAUGUCCGCAUUGGACAACUAAACUUUGCAGCCAUUAUCGACACAAGUUCUCAGGAAAUUGCGAUAAAUUAUAACUAUUCGGCUAACGAUGGAACAAUGAAUGAAAAUAGUGCAAUGGAUUUGAUAAGAGAUGAAUAUAUCUAAAAACGUUCUGACGCAUCUUCAGUAAUUAAUAUCAAAUAUGUCAAAUGGUUUGUUGGAGUGUUCGCGGAUGAGUUCAACUGAUAUGAACAACAUCGGGCAUUUCCAAUAUGUUUUCAAAAGUUUGUAUUUAUAACUGAAGCAUCGUAUCUAUCUUCCACUAGGGUAGUCGAUGUAAUCAGUUUUUGUUUCGUAAACAUUCAUUUCUAGCAAAAGAGCAUAUUUAUGCCUCUCUUUAUAUAUUAUGUUCAGCUGUUCCUAUUACACUCUGUUUCUAUUUAAAAUACAUCGAAAUUGGCUACCAUGAUGUCCACACUAUAUUUCCCUUAUCUGAAAUACACUUUGCAAAGAAAAGCUAUCAAUAGGAAUGAUAUCGAUAACCGUGAAAUCUCUAUUCAUGAAAAAAAAAAAAAAAAAGCACUAUUAGGCAUCAGACAUUAAAACAAUGUGACUGAUAGUCAUUUAACAUGCCAACAGAAAACAUCUCUUCUAAAGAUCAAAUAAAGCACCAACACGCUUCAGAAUCUAUUAUCUUAUGGAAAAGGUAAUGAACAUUCCUUUAACUGAAAAUCACAUGAUUUGAAUGGGUUAUAGGCAAAUAAAUUCUGCUUUUCACGUGACAUUAUAAAAUAAAGUAUUCAGGUAUAUAUUUUCAUGUCGCAUUUUAUUUAGAAUCAAUAUUAUAAUCACGUAGUUUGAGAAGCUAUGAAAUCAGUUUAAAUGAAUAUGUUCUAUUUAUUGCCUUGCAAUAAAAUAUAAUUUAAUGCAAGUCAGUAAUUAUACUAUAUAUAUUCAUUUAAUUUAACUCAGUAACAACAAUUGCAUACCAGUUUAUUUUCAUCACAUAUCAUUAGGAAAAUUAAAAAAAAAAAAAAAAAAAAAAAAA